rnacentral:misc_RNA from 1 species
AUGUGCGAAAAUGGCUCAGAAUAUAAUGACACUGUUGAUCCUAGAGUUCAUGUUGAAUUAGAGAGACUAAAUAAUGCAACAGAUGAGAUUAACAAGCUAGAAGUAGAAUUGGACGAAUGUCGAACAGCAUUCAAACAACUUUUGUGUGAAAGUACGCUAAAAGUCGAUGCAAUUCGUGUCAAAUUGGGUAUGUGCGUCGAAAGAGCCAGGCCUUAUUAUGAAGCGAGAUUCUACGCCAACGAAAUGUUCAAACAUUCUCAGGUCGCGGCUUGUAAAUUUGAGAAAGCCAAUAGUGCCCACAGUGCAGCUAGAGAGAUGGUUUAUUUGGCAGAGCAAGGUCUAGGUGGUAGAACUCUUGAUCCAGCAUGGCAGGAAAUGUUGAACCAUGCCACCCAAAGGGUUAAUGAUGCUGAGAGAGAUAGGGGGCUUGCUGAGACUGAGCACAGGAUUGCUUGUGUAAAACACGACGCUGCAAAUGCCAAGGUACAAAGUCUACAAAAGGAAUUGAAACGAGCAAUAACAAAAAGCAGUUUAUCCAUUCGAAGGUCUCUUAUGCAAAUGAGUAACAUUUUAUCACAGCAUGAGUUGAUGUUUUUACCAUAUUACGAAAUGAAAGCCCACUACAACCAACUUCUCGAGCACCAAAAAGCCAGAGUUCACACUUUAGAAUCGCAAGUAGCCAACGCCAAGCUUACAUACGCAGACGCUUUAAAGAGCCUAGAACAAAUCUCCGAUGAGAUCCAUCAAAACAGAAAAAGGGUAUCUCUUUUGGCGGCGAAUUUCGCGAGCGGUAAACAGCGAAGUCUGGAUUCGAAUAUUUCUUUAUUGGACGAUGCUCAAGAACUGAUCGAAGAAUUUAAAAGUCUUCCACAGAAACUCGGAGAAUUGUCUAGUCCUAUUUCUUCCAAGCUUGAGGAGGUUGAGGGUUAUCGAAAUCCUCUGUUUAGUGCAUCACCGACUUCGCCGCUGUCUACCAGUGAAAGACUGGAACAACCAAGUAUCGCACAAAGCCAUUCGAGCGAGUGGACCGAAAUUAACCUGGAUAGUUCUAGUCCUGAGGAUAACUCGCCGAAUAAAAAAUUAGAACGUGACUUUGGUAAACCUCUGCUGACCAGGCAGAAAACUUUACCGAAUCCAAAAUCAGAUAACGAAUACUCCGCAAUUAAAAGUAAGAUGAAAUUAGACCACAGCAUAUCAAAUUGGAUCAGCAGAUCGUCCGCCAAAAACGAAGAUAAUAUUCCAAUGAAUGGCAGCCGACGACAAAGUCUAGAUAAUAUUCUCGGUCCAACUGGGGAAAAAGUUAAAGAAAUUUUCUCGCAAGGGAUGAUGAUGCUGAACAUCAGCGCUCUAACCGAACGAAGAAAUAGUGAACCGAAACUUGGGCUGACUGAAGAGAGAAUGAGGAACGGAACUACCAAAAAGAUUCCUAGUCCUUUGGAAAAAACUCUUACAUAUCUUACUGUAGAGGAUGACAAUUCUGAUACAGAUAGUGUUUCAAGUAGGUAAUUGAGGUGAAAUAACACCACCGAUAUUGACGACAAAUUAUUAAAUCCAUGACUUUAUUGACAUGCUAAACGAAGACCAAAUUAGUUCCUUGAUGUUGGACCCUAAUAUCGUUUGCGAACAAGUCUUGGGUACUCCAAUGGCCGAAGUCGUCUACUUACCCCAGUUUCUUUCUAGUCAGCCAAUAAAUUAAAGUAGUAUAAAGAAAAGGGUUAAGAAACAGCACAAUAAGCAUUACCUAAGUAAAAUUUCGGUUCGAAAUGCUGCUUUCUUUAUUGAUGGUAAAAGGUAUUGAAGAUGUCUGCUUUUAUGUGACAAUAACUAGUGUUCAACGCUUUUUUAUUAGCGUGAUAUUAGAAAAUAGGUCUUUGAAAUACGUCAUAGUAAUGCAAAAAAA